rnacentral:misc_RNA from 1 species
UACGUAGGUGGCAAGCGUGGUUCGGAAUUAUUGGGCGUAAAGCGCGCGCAGGCGGUCUUUUAAGUAUGAUGUGAAAGCCCCCGGCUCACCCGGGGAGGGUCAUUGGAAACUGGGAGACUUGAGUGCAGAUGAGGGGAGUGGAAUUCCACGUGUAGCGGUGAAAUGCGUAGAUAUGUGGAGGAACACCAGUGGCGAAGGCGACUCUCUGGUCUGUAACUGACGCUGAGGCGCGAAAGCGUGGGGAGCAAACAGG